rnacentral:lncRNA from 8 species
UCUAUCUCUCUCCCUCACUAUCUACCUCUCUAUCUCUCUCCCUCACUAUCUACCUCUCUACCUCUCUCUCACUCUCUACCUCUCUCUCUCACUCUCUACCUCUCUCCCUCACUAUCUACCUCUCUACCUCACUCCGUCACUAUCUACCUCUCUACCUCAGUCCCUCACUAUCUACCUCUCUCUCUCACUCUCUACCUCUCUCCCUCACUAUCUACCUCUCUCCCUCACUAUCUCCCUCUCUAUCUACCUCUCUCCCUCACUAUCUACCUCUCUACCUCACUCCCUCACUUUCUACCUCUCUACCUCACCCUCACUAUCUACCUCCCUACCUCUCACCCUCACUAUCUGCCUCACUAUCUGCCUAUCUACCUCUCUACCUCUCUACCUUUCUACCUCUCUACCUCACUAUCUACCUCUCUACCUCUUUCCCUCACUAUCUACCUCUCUCCCUCACUAUCUACCUCUCUACCUCUUUCCCUUACUGUCUACCUCUCUCUCUCCCUCACUAUCUACCUCUCUCCCUCACUAUCUACCUCUCUAUCUCCCUCUCUCACUCACUAUCUACCUCUCUCUCACUCUCUACCUCUCUCUCCCUCACUAUCUACAUCUCUCUCCCUCACUAUCUACCUCUCUCUCACUCUCUACCUCUCUCCCUCACUAUCUACCUCUCUCCCUCACUAUCUCUCUCUACCUCACUCCCUCACGUUCUACCUCUCUACCUCUCUCCCUCACUAUCUACCUCUCUACCUCACUCCCUCACUAUCUACCUCUCUACCUCACCCUCACUAUCUACCUCCCUACCUCUCACCCUCACUAUCUGCCUAUCUACCUCUCUACCUUUCUACCUCUCUACCUUCUACCUCUCUACCUCACUAUCUACCUCUCUACCUCUUUCCCUCACUAUCUACCUCUCUCCCUCACUAUCUACCUCUCUACCUCUUCUCCCUCACUAUCUACCUCUCUCUCUCCCUCACUAUCUACCUCUCUCCCUCACUAUCUACCUCUCUAUCUCCCUCUCUCACUCACUAUCUACCUCUCUCUCACUCUCUACCUCUCUCUCCCUCACUAUCUACAUCUCUCUCCCUCACUAUCUACCUCUCCCUCACUAUCUACCUCUCUCUCACUCUCUACCUCUCCCUCACUCACUAUCUACCUCUCUCCCUCACUAUCUACCUCUCUCUCACUCUCUACCUCUCUCCCUCACUAUCUACCUCUCUCUCACUCACUAUCUACCUCUCUCUCACUCACUAUCUACCUCUCUCUCACUCUCUACCUCUCUCCCUCACUAUCUACGUCUCUCUCCCUCACUAUCUACCUCUCUCUCUCUCACUCUUUACCUCUCUCCCUCACUAUCUACCUCUCUCUCCCUCACUAUCUACCUCUCUCUCUCCCUCACUAUCUACCUCUCUACCUCUCUCCCUCACUCUCACCUUUCUCUCUCCCCCUUCUCUUUCUCUCCUCUCUCUCUCUCUCUCUCUCUCCCCCUUCUCUCUCUUUCGCUCAAGGCUUCCACAUGCUUCGGUUCUGCUGAUGGCUAGCUGA